ACGAAGGGGGCGAGCGUUGUUCGGAAUCACUGGGCGUAAAGGGCGCGUAGGCGGCCCUUCUUGUCGCGUGUGAAAGCCCCGGGCUCAACCUGGGAACUGCAUUCGAUACUGGGCGGCUAGAGUAUGAGAGAGGGAGGUAGAAUUCCACGUGUAGCGGUGAAAUGCGUAGAUAUGUGGAGGAAUACCGGUGGCGAAGGCGGCCUCCUGGUUCAAUACUGACGCUGAGGUGCGAAAGCGUGGAGAGCAAACAGGA
rnacentral:rRNA from 1 species